UCCCGGUUUAAGCGUGUAGGCUGGUUUUCCAGGCAAAUCCGGAAAAUCAAGGCUGAGGCGUGAUGACGAGGCACUACGGUGCUGAAGCAACAAAUGCCCUGCUUCCAGGAAAAGCCUCUAAGCAUCAGGUAACAUCAAAUCGUACCCCAAACCGACACAGGUGGUCAGGUAGAGAAUACCAAGGCGCUUGAGAGAACUCGGGUGAAGGAACUAGGCAAAAUGGUGCCGUAACUUCGGGAGAAGGCACGCUGAUAUGUAGGUGAAGUCCCUCGCGGAUGGAGCUGAAAUCAGUCGAAGAUACCAGCUGGCUGCAACUGUUUAUUAAAAACACAGCACUGUGCAAACACGAAAGUGGACGUAUACGGUGUGACGCCUGCCCGGUGCCGGAAGGUUAAUUGAUGGGGUCAGCGCAAGCGAAGCUCUUGAUCGAAGCCCCGGUAAACGGCGGCCGUAACUAUAACGGUCCUAAGGUAGCGAAAUUCCUUGUCGGGUAAGUUCCGACCUGCACGAAUGGCGUAAUGAUGGCCAGGCUGUCUCCACCCGAGACUCAGUGAAAUUGAACUCGCUGUGAAGAUGCAGUGUACCCGCGGCAAGACGGAAAGACCCCGUGAACCUUUACUAUAGCUUGACACUGAACAUUGAGCCUUGAUGUGUAGGAUAGGUGGGAGGCUUUGAAGUGUGGACGCCAGUCUGCAUGGAGCCGACCUUGAAAUACCACCCUUUAAUGUUUGAUGUUCUAACGUGGACCCGUGAUCCGGGUUGCGGACAGUGUCUGGUGGGUAGUUUGACUGGGGCGGUCUCCUCCUAAAGAGUAACGGAGGAGCACGAAGGUUGGCUAAUCCUGGUCGGACAUCAGGAGGUUAGUGCAAUGGCAUAAGCCAGCUUGACUGCGAGCGUGACGGCGCGAGCAGGUGCGAAAGCAGGUCAUAGUGAUCCGGUGGUUCUGAAUGGAAGGGCCAUCGCUCAACGGAUAAAAGGUACUCCGGGGAUAACAGGCUGAUACCGCCCAAGAGUUCAUAUCGACGGCGGUGUUUGGCACCUCGAUGUCGGCUCAUCACAUCCUGGGGCUGAAGUAGGUCCCAAGGGUAUGGCUGUUCGCCAUUUAAAGUGGUACGCGAGCUGGGUUUAGAACGUCGUGAGACAGUUCGGUCCCUAUCUGCCGUGGGCGCUGGAGAACUGAGGGGGGCUGCUCCUAGUACGAGAGGACCGGAGUGGACGCAUCACUGGUGUUCGGGUUGUCAUGCCAAUGGCACUGCCCGGUAGCUAAAUGCGGAAGAGAUAAGUGCUGAAAGCAUCUAAGCACGAAACUUGCCCCGAGAUGAGUUCUCCCUGACCCUUUAAGGGUCCUGAAGGAACGUUGAAGACGACGACGUUGAUAGGCCGGGUGUGUAAGCGCAGCGAUGCGUUGAGCUAACCGGUACUAAUGAACCGUGAGGCUUAACCUU
rnacentral:rRNA from 1 species